rnacentral:tRNA from 1 species
GGGGAUGUGGCUCAAGGGUAAAGCACUUGCCUAGGAUGUAUGAGGCCAUAGGUUCAAUCCCUAGCAUCACCA